UGCCGCGGUCUUUCUGCUCCAGGGUGCUGCUGGCUGGGGUACCCUGCGCCAUGAGCAGACCGCCCACCCUCGGCGUCUCAGACGCGCCCACCCACCUGCCUGAGCUCAGAAAGCACCGGCUGUGCAGCCAGCGAGCCACGGGCAUCCACUGGGCACGCACAUCUCACCUCUCGGCUUAGGAAAACCCACGCCUCACGCCAAGGAAAAUGAAGCAGAAUGUUGCAUGGGGUUAAUGAGACCCUGGGCCUGGGCAUCUCCAGGCUGCUGCCCCCUGGGGAGGCACUUCCAUUCAGCAGGCGCCCCGCCAAAGCCCCUGCCCGAUGAGGAAUUUUCCCCGCUUUGAAGCUGGUGGGCCUGUGCCAGUUUGGAACACGGGGAUCCAGCUCCUUGCGGGAGAAUAAAAGCAACUCGCAGACAGUAAAUGCUGGCAGAGAUUCGGUUCUCUUUAUUUUUGUCAACAAGGAGAUUUGUUUUAAUGGGAACCAGCACAAUUGAGGUUGCAGAUUUUCCACUCCUGCAGGUCUCAACAGCCGCAGCCCCGCUUCCACCACAGCUCGCUGGUCCUCGGCUUCAGGCAUCUGAUGCCACCGUCCC
rnacentral:lncRNA from 1 species